AGCAGCCGCGGUAAUUCCAGCUCCAAUAGUGUAUAUUAAAGUUGCUGUGAUUAAAACGCUCGUAGUUGAAUUGAAAAGUGUCUAGCUUGGGAAAGCCGGGUAACCGGGGGACUCUUGCGUUAACGGACAUGAAGGUUAUGGUCGCAAGGCCGUAAUUACUUUGAAAAAAAUAGGGUGUUUAAAGCAAAUCUUAUGUUAAUGAAUAAUGAAGCAUGGGACAAUAUUGAGGAGAUCCCUUUUGGGAUGUCGAGAUAAGGAUUAAAAGGAACAAUUGGGGUGAUUCAGAAAAUAACGGGAGAGGUGAAAAUCCAUGAUCGCUAUAAGAUGCACGAGAGCGAAAGCAUUUCACUCAAUUGCGUUCAUUAAUCAAGAACGAAAGUUA
rnacentral:rRNA from 1 species